GCAUUGGUCAUUCUGUGGUAGAACUCUCGCCUUCCACGCAGGAGACCCGGGUUCAAUUUCCGGCCAGUGCA
rnacentral:tRNA from 1 species